CUGGUAAUUAAUGCUCUAUUUGCAGGCGAGGCUUUGUGGAACAGAUAUUCAGAAAGUUGCGACCUGACUGUGCAAAUGCAGAGAGCAUGGAUGAGAUGGGGGAGGAUGGACUGAGUGGUAAUUUGAUGUUCUUCCCGAGUCCAUCAAUGCGUGACAAGAUAACCUCCAUUUUCGAAAACUCGUCCCUUGAUGAUGACGCUUGAUGAUGAUGAUCAUGAUGAAGGGUUCUGGGUUGGGUUUAGGGGCAGAAGGAGAAUGAUGCCUACAGUAUUGAGAGAUACACCUAGGGUUCUGUAACAACGCAACCCCUCCCCCCACCCAGCGAUAAAAACACAAACCCUCAAAAUGUUGAUGUGCUGAUGAUACAGUUUAUGCAAGUGUGCAGAAGCAUUCAACAGAUAUGUCAAGAUUAGGAAUUCUGUGCCUUAGGUAUAACAUCAGUAAGAUUUUUUUUUUUUUUUUUUUUUUCCAUUUUCUUUUUUUCUUUUUUUUUUUUUUUUUUUUUUUUUCUCUCAAAGCUGUGAAUAUAAAAAGUGAUCAUUCCUGGUACUCAGCCUAAGGUUCGCGAGUUGCUGAUCUUGCCACAAAUAUUUUUGCAGUCAGAUGUGCUAGUUUCAUAUGUGAUAGUCCCGAUGCUUUCGCCUUCCAGACUCAUAACCUUGCUCUCGAAUUGUCGUGUUGGUCAACACCAACAGAUGAUGAGUCUUCAAGUAAUGUAGAUAAUGGAAAUAACUUUUUAGAGAAUUUUUUAUUAUUAUUUUUUUUUAAUCACUGAAUGAUGUGAUAACAUGUAAAAGUAAUGAGUAAAAGAAUCAGAGAUAUACAGAUAAUGAGUUCAUCCUUAUUUUGGUUUUGAAGUUCUCACUCCUUAUUGGCAGCUCGAGGGCGACUAUUUGUUUCUGGAAGGAGAGUGUGUGAAAGAAUGUAAUGAAGAUAUGUUAAUACAGUUAAUAAUAAUGAUAAGUUUUAUGCUUUUGUCUGCAUACACCUAUGUUACACCAAUAUUUGAAGUAUUUGAAGUGAAGUUUGUAGAUAAUAUGUAAAAUUGGUUAACUUUAUGUAUUCACACUCCAAGUGAGACUUACUUACAUUUCAUAUAGCGUUCUAACUUCA